rnacentral:rRNA from 1 species
CGUGUAGGCGGCCCGAUAAGUCGAAUGUGAAAGCCCGAGGCUCAACUUCGGAAGUGCAUUCGAAACUGUCGGACUUGAGUACGGGAGAGGGAAGUGGAAUUCCUGGUGUAGAGGUGAAAUUCGUAGAUAUCAGGAGGAACACCGGUGGCGAAGGCGGCUUCCUGGACCGAUACUGACGCUGAGACGCGAAAGCGUGGGGAGCAAACAGGAUUAGAUACCCUGGUAGUCCACGCCGUAAACGGUGAGCACUAGGUGUAGCGGGUAUUGACCCCUGCUGUGCCGACGUUAACACAUUAAGUGCUCCGCCUGGGGAGUACGGCCGCAAGGUUAAA